GUACAUGCAAACACUAAAGGAUAAAACAAAAACUGAGAAAGUUGGAGCAAAGGGGACCAAUGAGUGCAAAAAACAGUUAAAUAAAACUAAUUAUUACCUCAACCAUGCAGAGGUAGAAAGUAGGAAUUGAGAAGGCUUGCAAAUAAGUCUCGCCAGAAAGUUUCAAUGUUUAUACCAGUUGUUUAUUGAGGGUGUCCAUUUCAUUUUCUGUGAAGGUCACCUCAUGAUCAGAAAGAAUGAGCCCAGGUAUGAGACUGGAGUUGGUCUUAUUGCAGGUGAAUGAGGAGCCUGUGGCCAUCAGGCAAGGGAGUUUCUCACUGGAUGAAGUGAGGUCCUCUCCUCUACACAACGCCAAGUUCUCUAUUUGAAAACUGAAGUGCAAAACAGCUAGAGCAGUAAGUAGAGAACAACUUCUAACAGAGACCAUCUUACUACUUACUAUCAAUAUCUUACAUACUAUCAAUAUCUACUUGGAUUAGCUACAUCCAAUUGCUAAGUGAAUUAAACAGGUGCUGAAGAAUAAGAAUCAAACAUCGUUAUUAGAAUCACACCAGGUUCAAAGACUGAGUCUGAAACUAAACUUUUAAAUGUGAGUUUCUUCCUCUAUCCCAGUCUGACUGGUUGACAAUAGUCCCUAGACUAAUUGCCUUUCUGGCCUCCUCUCCUUCCAGAGAGCUUGUCCUUUUUACAUGUCCCUUCCUACCACCCACCUAGCACAAGACCUAACCCGAAACAAAUAAUCCAUUGGCCACUUAAUAAUCAAUUGGAUUUUCUCUAUCAAAUAUUUGAACUAAGAGUUAGAAACUGACAUUAGCUGGGAAUAGGUAAUUGGGCUGAAAAACCAUGUGGCACCUGUGCAGCCAUAAUGCCUACAAAGAAGAUGAGCAAUUCAAAGACAUUCUUUCCUGUGAUAAAUA
rnacentral:lncRNA from 1 species